rnacentral:rRNA from 1 species
AUUGAACGCUAGCGGGAUGCCUUACACAUGCAAGUCGAACGGAGUGGCGAACGGGUGAGUAAUGUAUCGGAACGUGCCCAGUAGCGGGGGAUAACUACGCGAAAGCGUAGCUAAUACCGCAUACUAUUGGAGCGGCCGAUUUCGGAUUAGGUAGUUGGUGGGGUAACGGGUCACCAAGGCGACGAUCCGUAGAUGGUUUGAGCGGAAGACCAACCACAAGGGGACUGAGACACAGCCCAGACUCCUCCGGGAGGCAGCAGUGGGGAAUUUUGGACAAUGGGGGAAACCCUGAUCCAACCAUCCCUCGUGUGCGAUGAAGGCCUUCGGGUUGUAAAGCACUUUUAGCAGUUAAGCGGUAUCUGCAGAAUAAGCACCGGCUAACUACGUGCCAGCAGCCUCGGUAAUAC